UUAUAGAAGGAAGUAUUAAAGAAUUGAAACCUAAUAAAAUAGCCGCUGCAAUUACUUUAUCAGAUCAAUAUAUUUUGGAUGAAAGUAUUUAUCAAGUAAUAGAUGAUUGAGGCGUUAUUAAGGAUUGUGAAAGAGUCUGAUUGAUUCCAGUUUCGGUGGAUAUUAUGAAGAUAUCUAACUGAGGGUGGACAUCUACACUUCUUCUAUUAUUUUAUUUUCCGUUAUGUAGUUGUGAGGCAGUAGAGUAACUGAACUUGGGUAGUUUCUAUAUUUUUCGUCGAUUCAACAUUUUACUUAUUUGUGGAUCAUUUAAGGGGUGUUAGGUACACCGUAUCUACUCGUAGACAUAUUCAUUUUAUAGCAAUAAAUAAAA